UAAUACCGCAUAACGUCGCAAGACCAAAGAGGGGGACCUUCGGGCCUCUUGCCAUCGGAUGUGCCCAGAUGGGAUUAGCUAGUAGGUGGGGUAAAGGCUCACCUAGGCGACGAUCCCUAGCUGGUCUGAGAGGAUGACCAGCCACACUGGAACUGAGACACGGUCCAGACUCCUACGGGAGGCAGCAGUGGGGAAUAUUGCACAAUGGGCGCAAGCCUGAUGCAGCCAUGCCGCGUGUAUGAAGAAGGCCUUCGGGUUGUAAAGUACUUUCAGCGGGGAGGAAGGGAGUAAAGUUAAUACCUUUGCUCAUUGACGUUACCCGCAGAAGAAGCACCGGCUAACUCCGUGCCAGCAGCCGCGGUAAUACGGAGGGUGCAAGCGUUAAUCGGAAUUACUGGGCGUAAAGCGCACGCAGGCGGUUUGUUAAGUCAGAUGUGAA
rnacentral:rRNA from 1 species